GCUGCUAAAGUAGAGUAGAUGUAAAACAAAAAAACUCAUAGGGACUUCGUCCUCACAUACAAAACUUAGGAAAACCAUAAUAAACUUGUGUAGGGUUUUUGGAGUCCAAUAUGACAAGAUUGUUGUGUAUGAUUUGAGUAUAAGAAAGUAAAAUGCAACCCGGAUCCUGGCUGUUAAAGUAGAGUAGAUGCAAAACAAAAAAACUCAUAGGGACUUCUUCCUCAUAUACAAAACUUAGGAAAGCCAUAAUAAGCUUGUGUAGGGUUUUUGGAGUCCAAUAUGACAAGAUUGUUGUGUAUGAUUGAGUAUAAAAAAGUGAAAUGCAACCCGGAUCCUGGCUGCUAAAGUAGAGUAGAUGCAAAACAAAAAAUACUCAUAGGAACUUCGUCCUCACAUACAAAACUUAGGAAAGCCAUAAUAAGUUUGUGUAGGGUUUUUGGAGUCCAAUAUGA
rnacentral:lncRNA from 1 species